CAGAUGAGAAACUGAGGCCAAAGAACGGAAAUGACCUGCCCAAGGUCACACAGCGAGUCAGUGACAGAGCCGGAGCUGGCAUUGAAACGUGCUGGUUGGAGCCCAUGCCCAGGGCUGAUUCUCUGGGAAGGCAGCUGAGGCAGCAGGCUUCAUCCCCCAGAGCCCUGUGCCAUGGGCCAGCCCCAUUCACUGCCAGCAGCACUUCUUGCAGAUGCAGAAGCAGCAGGUGAGAAGCAGGAGCCCAGCAACCACAGCAAUGGCGAUCAGUGCCCAGGGUGGUACUGCCCACACAGAGAAUAUCCCGGGGUCAGCAGUGCCAUGCCUUGCAGCCCCUGACCCCGUAGCAUUGGCAAAAAUGGAGAGCUGUCAGGGCAGAAAGCAGACCUACAGACAGCAUCUCACUCUGUUGCUCAGGCUGGAAUACAGCGGCGUGAUCAUAGCUCACUGCAGCCUUCAAACUCCUGGCCCAAGCAAUCCUCCCACCUUCCCAAGGAGCUAGGACCACACACAUGAGCCACCAUGCCUGGCUAGUUUUAAAAUCUCUCUUCUUCCCUACAAAAAGUCGGGAGACUGGAAGCCCUGCUGUCUCCUCUAGCAGGCUUCUGGGAUUCCCUUGGUGUGCCCCCAAAUGAGACUGCCUCCAAAAUGAGAUCCUGAUGCCACAUCAAAGAUGAGUAAGUUCGAUCCUCACCCUCACCAAAAGCAUAUGUGUGUGCGUGUGCACAUGUGUACACACACUCACUCACCAUCAACUGCCACCCCACACCAAUUAAAUAUGAUCUGGGGACUAGGCACUUCUGUGGAUUAUCCCACUCAGUACUGGCCUCGAUUAAUGCAGAUAAUGGAGAGCUGACUGGAUACAGCUUACAGUAUUUAAUCUUUCCCGGCAUUGUAUUUGCAGAAGCCAAAGUCAUGAGAUGGAAAUAGGUUAACCAGCAAGACACCUGUCACCGAAGCUCGCAGGCUAGAAAGAUCAAUACUUAAGGAGAAAUGUAUGUCUUUAUGUUUUGCACCAAUGCUUCAGUCCAACAUUUGGCCUGGGAGGCUGAGGAUAAAGUUUUAAUGAAUUAAUUUUCUAGCUCAUUCUGAAAAUAAAUUACCCAUUUCUUUGA